GACGAACGCUGGCGGCGUGCUUAACACAUGUAAGUCGAACGGUAAGGCCCUUCGGGGUACACGAGUGGCGAACGGGUGAGUAACACGUGGGUGAUCUGCCCUGCACUUCGGGAUAAGCCUGGGAAACUGGGUCUAAUACCGGAUAGGACCACUGCCUGCAUGGGUGGUGGUGGAAAGCUUUUGCGGUGUGGGUUGGGGCCGCGGCCUAUCAGCUUGUUGGUGGGGUGAUGGCCUAACAAGGCGAAGACGUGUAGCCGGCCUGAGAGGGUGACCGGCCACACUGGGAGUGAGAUACGGCCCAGACUCCUACGGGAGGCAGCAGUGCGGAAUAUUGCAAAAUGGGCGCAAGCCUGAUGCAGCGACGCCGCGUGAGGGAUGACGGCCUUCGGGUUGUAAACCUCUUUCAGCACCGACGAAGCGCAAGUGACGGUAGGUGCAGAAGAAGGACCGGCCAACUACGUGCCAGCCGCCGCGGUAA
rnacentral:rRNA from 1 species